GAGAUAAAUGAUCCCAAAGCUCCUCUUUGUUUGAACCAGCAUACGCAAUGCCGAGACCCAUGAUUGCCCCAAUGCGAAUUGUUGUGUCAUCUUUGUUUAUAUAGUCAAUCAAUAGAGCGAGCGCAGGAUCGCAAUCAUUUUUUAUACCACAGUUGACAAUGCCAACACCUAAUAGAGCACCAGCAACAACAUGGUUAUCGUUGCUAUGCAAAUACUUGUCAAUUUGCGCGAGCCCGGAGUCAACAUCCCACAACAAAAUCAUCCCCAGACUUGCAGCUGCACUAGCCUUUCCAUGUUCCUUAUUCUUAAACAGCCAACUGCCAGAUGAACCGCCACUUGAAGAUUCUGUGGGAAUGGUCAUGAGCUUGUCCUGCCCAAAUCCAGCAUUGACAAAUGCAUUUACGAAAGUAGCUGCCAAAUUUUGCCUCGCUGAAUCAAGACUAGAACUUGCACUUGCCCGGCCAUCAAUUAAAUGUGCCUUAUAGAUGUCUUC
rnacentral:misc_RNA from 1 species